rnacentral:rRNA from 1 species
CCUACGGGCCGCACCAGUGGGGAAUAUUGCACAAUGGGCGCAAGCCUGAUGCGGCCAUGCCGCGUGUAUGAAGAAGGCCUCGGGUUGUAAAGUACUUUCAGUCGGGAGGAAGGUGGUGAGCUUAAUACGCUCAUCAAUUGACGUUACCGACAGAAGAAGCACCGGCUAACUCCGUGCCAGCAGCCGCGGUAAUACGGAGGGUGCAAGCGUUAAUCGGAAUUACUGGGCGUAAAGCGCACGCAGGCGGUUGAUUGAGUCAGAUGUGAAAUCCCCGGGCUUAACCCGGGAAUUGCAUCUGAUACUGGUCAGCUAGUGUCUUGUAGAGGGGGGUAGAAUUCCAGGUGUAGCGGUGAAAUGCGUAGAGAUCUGGAGGAAUACCGGUGGCGAAGGCGGCCCCCUGGACAAAGACUGACGCUCAGGUGCGAAAGCGUGGGGAGCAAACAGGAUUAGAUACCCGCGUAGUC